AUUGAACGCUGGCGGCAGGCCUAACACAUGCAAGUCGGACGGUAGCACAGAGGAGCUUGCUCCUCGGGUGACGAGUGGCGGACGGGUGAGUAAUGUCUGGGGAUCUGCCCGAUAGAGGGGGAUAACCACUGGAAACGGUGGCUAAUACCGCAUAACGUCGCAAGACCAAAGAGGGGGACCUUCGGGCCUCCCACUAUCGGAUGAACCCAGAUGGGAUUAGCUAGUAGGCGGGGUAACGGCCCACCUAGGCGACGAUCCCUAGCUGGUCUGAGAGGAUGACCAGCCACACUGGAACUGAGACACGGUCCAGACGCCUACGGGAGGCAGCAGUGGGGAAUAUUGCACAAUGGGCGCAAGCCUGAUGCAGCCAUGCCGCGUGUAUGAAGAAGGCCUUCGGGUUGUAAAGUACUUUCAGCGGGGAGGAAGGCGAUGUGGUUAAUAACCGCAUUGAUUGACGUUACCCGCAGAAGAAGCACCGGCUAACUCCGUGCCAGCCGCCGCCGUAA
rnacentral:rRNA from 1 species